rnacentral:rRNA from 1 species
UGGGGAAUUUUGGACAAUGGGCGAAAGCCUGAUCCAGCCAUGCCGCGUGAGUGAAGAAGGCCUUCGGGUUGUAAAGCUCUUUUAGUCGGAAAGAAAGAGUUGCAAUGAAUAAUUGUGAUUUAUGACGGUACCGACAGAAAAAGCACCGGCUAACUACGUGCCAGCAGCCGCGGUAAUACGUAGGGUGCGAGCGUUAAUCGGAAUUACUGGGCGUAAAGGGUGCGCAGGCGGUCUUGUAAGUCAGAUGUGAAAGCCCCGGGCUUAACCUGGGAAUUGCGUUUGAAACUGCAAGGCUAGAGUGCAGCAGAGGGGAGUGGAAUUCCAUGUGUAGCAGUGAAAUGCGUAGAGAUGUGGAAGAACACCGAUGGCGAAGGCAGCUCCCUGGGUUGACACUGACGCUCAUGCACGAAAGCGUGGGGAGCAAACA